GUGCCAGCCGCCGCGGUAACACGUAGGGAGCGAGCGUUGUCCGGAAUUACUGGGCGUAAAGGGCGCGUAGGCGGGAAAUUAAGUCAGGUGUGAAAACUCCGAGCUCAACUUGGAGAUUGCACUUGAAACUGGUAUUCUUGAGGUCAGGAGAGGAAAGUGGAAUUCCUAGUGUAGCGGUGAAAUGCGUAGAUAUUAGGAGGAACACCAGUGGCGAAGGCGACUUUCUGGACUGCACCUGACGCUGAGGCGCGAAAGCGUGGGUAGCGAACGGGAUUAGAUACCCCGGUAGUCCACGCUGUAAACGAUGGGUACUAGGUGUAGGAGGUAUCGACCCCUUCUGUGCCGGAGUUAACGCAAUAAGUACCCCGCCUGGGGAGUACGGCCGCAAGGUUAAAACUCAAAUAAAUUGACGG
rnacentral:rRNA from 1 species